UUUUUUGUGUGUGUUGGUGGAAGAACGGUCUCAGAACUGUUUGUGUCAAUUGGCCAUUUAAGUUUAAUAGUAAAAGAAUGGUUAAUGAUAGCAAAUGCAUCAUAAAACCUUCAGAAGGAACGAAGAAUGUUUUGUGGGCCAUUUGUUUUGUAUGUGUGUGUGGCAGUUUUAAG